AACCUGGUUGAUCCUGCCAGUAGUCAUAUGCUUGUCUCAAAGACUAAGCCAUGCAUGUCUAAGUAUAAGUAUUAUACAGCGAAACUGCGAAUGGCUCAUUAAAACAGUUAUAAUUUAUUUGAUAAUCGAAUUUACAUGGAUAACCGUGGUAAUUCUAGAGCUAAUACAUGCUGGUAGGCCCGACUUUUUGGAAGGGCGGUAUUUAUUAGAUAACAAACCAAUAUUCUUCGUGUCUAUUGUGGUGAAUCAUAGUAACUAAUCGGAUCGUAUGGGCUAGUCCCUCGACAAACCAUUCAAGUUUCUGCCCCAUCAGCUUUCGAUGGUAGUGUAUUGGACUACCAUGGCUUUCACGGGUAACGGAGGAUUAGGGUUCGAUUCCGGAGAGGGAGCCUGAGAAACGGCUACCACAUCUAAGGAAGGCAGCAGGCGCGUAAAUUACCCAAUUCUGACUCAGAGAGGUAGUGACAAGAAAUAAUGGGUCGGGGUUCUGCCCCGGGACUGCAAUGAGACGAAUCUAGACCCCUUAUCGAGGACCAAUUGGAGGGCAAGUCUGGUGCCAGCAGCCGCGGUAAUUCCAGCUCCAAUAGCGUAUAUAA
rnacentral:rRNA from 1 species